rnacentral:rRNA from 1 species
GAGGCUCUGGGUCCACCUCCCACCCGUGUCUAUCGUACCUUGUUGCUUCGGCGGGCCCGCCGUUUCGACGGCCGCCGGGGAGGCCUUGCGCCCCCGGGCCCGCGCCCGCCGAAGACCCCAACAUGAACGCUGUUCUGAAAGUAUGCAGUCUGAGUUGAUUAUCGUAAUCAGUUAAAACUUUCAACAACGGAUCUCUUGGUUCCGGCAUCGAUGAAGAACGCAGCGAAAUGCGAUAAGUAAUGUGAAUUGCAGAAUUCAGUGAAUCAUCGAGUCUUUGAACGCACAUUGCGCCCCCUGGUAUUCCGGGGGGCAUGCCUGUCCGAGCGUCAUUGCUGCCCUCAAGCACGGCUUGUGUGUUGGGCCCCCGUCCCCCUCUCCCGGGGGACGGGCCCGAAAGGCAGCGGCGGCACCGCGUCCGGUCCUCGAGCGUAUGGGGCUUUGUCACCUGCUCUGUAGGCCCGGCCGGCGCCAGCCGACACCCAACUUUAUUUUUCUAAGGUUGACCUCGGAUCAGGUAGGGAUACCCGCUGAACUUAAGCAUAUCAAUAAAGGCGGAGGAA